GUAGGCUGGGACCUGUGUCUGAUUAUCUGGGAGGGUGAAGCCACCGUCCCAACCGCUGUCUGCUGCGCUCCAGUCCUUCCAGGCUCUUCCAGGAGGAAAAGGCACUAUACAAGAGAGGAGGGUAGGGGUCCCAGGACUGAAUACCCUUGCCGGGGUUUUGACAGCUGCCGCCGUCUCUGAACUCCCAACUCGCGCUGAACCAGAUCCCUGUCAUGGGACCCCCUUCCAGCUCAGGUUUCUAUGUGAGCCGCGCGGUGGCCCUGCUGCUGGCGGGGCUGGUGGCCGCCCUCCUGCUGGCUCUGGCCAUACUCGCCGCCUUUUACGGCCGCUGCGCGCGCGUCCCACCGUCGGUGCUGCCGGGACUCGGGGACUCGGAAGCCGAGUGUUCUCCCCCUCGCAGGCAGAAACCGACGCCGACCCUGACGCCCGGCAGUGCAGACGAGCUAGCGGUGACCACCACCCCUAGAGACGAGCGACCCCCGGGGCCCUGGGACCACCUACGCCUGCCUCCCUGGCUCUUGCCGCUGCACUACGACCUGGAGCUGUGGCCACUGCUGAGGCCCGACAAGCUUCCAGCGAGGUCUUUGCUCUUCUAUGGCCGCGUGAACAUCACGGUGCGCUGCACCAUGGCCACUGUUCGACUGCUGUUGCAUAGCGUCUUCCAGGACUGCGAGGGCGCCGAGGUGCGGGGCCCCCUGUCCCCGGGCACUGGGAACACCACCGUGGGCCGCAUACCAGUGGACAAGGUGUGGUUCGCGCUGGACACGGAAUACAUGGUGCUGGAGCUCGGUGAGCCCCUGCAACCUGGUAGCAGCUACGAGCUGCAGCUCAGCUUCUCGGGCGUGGUGUUUGAAGACCUCAAGGAGGGACUCUUCUUCAGCGUCUACACCGACGACGGAGAGCGCAGGGUCCUGAUAGCAUCCCAGCUGGAACCAACAUUUGCCAGGUUUGUUUUCCCUUGUUUUGAUGAGCCAGCUCUGAAGGCAACUUUUAAUAUUACAAUUAUUCAUCAUCCAAGUUAUGUGGCCCUUUCCAACAUGCCAAAGCUAGGUCAGUCUGAAAAAGAAGAUGUGAAUGGAAGCAAAUGGACUGUUACUACCUUUUCCACUACGCCCCACAUGCCAACUUAUUUAGUUGCAUUUGUUAUAUGUGACUAUGACCAUGUCAAUAGAACGGAAAGGGGCAAGGAGAUACGCAUCUGGGCCCGCAAAGAUGCCAUUGCAAGUGGAAAUGCAGACUUUGCUUUGAACAUCACAGGCCCCACCUUCUCUUUUCUGGAGGAUUUGUUUAAUAUCAGUUACUCUCUUCCAAAAACAGAUAUAAUUGCCUUGCCUAGUUUUGACAACCAUGCAAUGGAAAACUGGGGACUAAUGGUAUUUGAUGAAUCGGUAUUGUUGCUGGAACCAAAAGAUCAACUGACAGAAAAAAAGACUCUGAUCGCCAACAUUGUUUCCCACGAGAUUGCACACCAGUGGUUUGGAAACUUGGUUACCAUGAAUUGGUGGAACAAUGUCUGGCUCAAGGAGGGUUUCGCAUCUUAUUUUGAGUAUGAAGUAAUUAACUACUUUAAUCCUAAAUUCCCAAGAAAUGAGGUCUUUUUUUCUAACAUUUUACAUCAUGUCCUCAGAGAAGAUCACGCCCUGGUGACUAGAGCUUUGGCCAUGAAGGUGGAAAAUUUCAAAACAAGUGAAAUAGAGGAACUCUUUGACAUAUUUGUUUACAGCAAGGGAGCGUCUAUGGCUCAGAUGCUUUCCAGUUUCUUGAAUAAGCAUUUAUUUGUCAGUGCACUCAAGUCAUAUUUGAAGACAUUUUCCUACUCAAAUGCUGAGCAAGAUGAUCUAUGGAGACAUUUUCAAAUGGCCAUAGAUGACCAGAGUACAGUUAUUUUGCCAGCAACAAUAAAAAACAUAAUGGACAGUUGGACACACCAGAGUGGUUUUCCAGUGAUCACUUUAAAUGUGUCUACUGGCAUCAUGAAACAGGAGCCAUUUUAUCUUGAAAAGGUUAAAAAUCAGACUCUUCCAACCAACAAUGGCACGUGGAUUGUCCCUAUUCUUUGGAUAAAAAAUGGAACUACACAAUCUUUAGUAUGGCUAGAUCAAAGCAGCAAAGUAUUCCCUGAAAUGCGAGUUUCAGAUUCUGACAAUGACUGGGUGAUUUUGAAUUUGAAUAUGACUGGAUAUUAUAGAGUUAAUUAUGAUAAAUUAGGUUGGAAGAAAUUAAAUCAACUACUUGAAAAGGAUCCUAAGGCUAUUCCUAUUAUUCACAGACUGCAGUUGAUUGAUGACGCCUUUUUCUUGUCUAAAAACAAUUAUAUUGAGAUUGAAACAGCACUUGAGUUAACCAAAUACCUUGCUGAAGAAGACGAAAUCAUAGUAUGGCAUACAGUCUUGGUAAACUUGGUAACCAAGGAUCUUGUUUCUGAUGUGAAGAACUCUGAUCUAUAUCCGUUAUUAAAGAAGUAUCUAUUAAAGAGACUUAAUUCAAUAUGGAAUAUUUAUGUAACUAUAAUUCGUGAAAAUGUGUUGGUAUUACAAGAUGACUACUUAGCUCUAAUAUCACUGGAAAAACUUUUUGGAACUGUGUGUUGGUUGGGCCUUGAAGACUGUCUUCAGUUGUCAAAAGAACUCUUUGCAAAAUGGGUGGACCAUCCAGAAAAUGAAAUACCUUAUCCAAUUAAAGAAGUGGUUUUAUGUUAUGGCAUUGCCUUGGGAAGUGAUAAAGAGUGGGACAUCUUGUUAAAUAUUUACACUAAUACAACAAAGGAAGAAGAAAAGUUUCAACUUGUUUAUGCAAUGAGCUGCAGCAAAGACCCAUGGAUACUUAACAGAUAUAUGGAGUAUGCUAUCAGCGCAUCCCCAUUCACUUCUAAUGAAACAAAUAUAAUUGAGGUUGUGGCAGCAUCUGACAUUGGCUGGUACGUCGCAAAAGACUUCUUAGUCAACAACUGGAAAGCUGUGAGUAAAAGUCUUUUAUAUACUUUUUUAACUACAGCCACACUUUGAGCAGGUAUGGAACACAAUCAUUGAUUAAUCUAAUAUAUACAAUAGGGAGAGCCAUAACUACAGAUAUACAGAUUGAGGAGCUGCAGCAGUUUUUCAAUAACAUGUUGGAGGAAGACCAGAGGAUCAAAGUUCAUACCAAAUUACAGACAAUAAAGAAUGAAAACCUGAAAAACAAGAAGCGAAGAGACAGGAUGGCUGAGUGGCUGAGGAGAAACACAUAGGUUGGGGCUAUCUUUCAGCGCUCCUCUUGCAUAUUAUAAUGGCAUUUGCUCACAGUUUUGUCUUCCAAUACUUUGUGAAUCUGGAAAACCACACAUUUUAUUUGCAUUUCAGUCACAUUUAUUAAUCAGAGUGCCGUUCUUCCCAUAUUGUUACAUUUGGCCCCGAGGUUGGGUGAUUGCUGACAAUUUUGCCAAUGCUGCUAUAUUUCUGGGAAAGAUGUCACUUCAUGUUAGGCUACAAUCCCAGAGAAUUUACUUUAAAUGUCAUGGAAAAACAAAUGUACCUAAGAAAGUCUUGCUUAUUUUGUUGUGAAGCCAGUGGAAUAUGAAAUCAUUGGCUUUGAUGAGGAGCACAUUCUUUGCUGAGGGAAAUAACAGUUUUGCAAAGCCCUAGGGUUUUUCAACAUUGGAAAUUGAAGAUAACAUGAUAAUAUAAAGAAACAGACACUCGAAAAGUAUAUUCACUAGAAGACAGAAGAGCCAAA